AACGAACGCUGGCGGCAUGCCUAACACAUGCAAGUCGAACGAGACCUUCGGGUCUAGUGGCGCACGGGUGCGUAACGCGUGGGAACCUGCCCUUAGGUUCGGAAUAACUCCCCGAAAGGGGUGCUAAUACCGGAUAAUGUCUUCGGACCAAAGAUUUAUCGCCUUUGGAUGGGCCCGCGUUGGAUUAGCUAGUUGGUAGGGUAAAAGCCUACCAAGGCGACGAUCCAUAGCUGGUCUGAGAGGAUGAUCAGCCACACUGGGACUGAGACACGGCCCAGACUCCUCGGGGAGGAGGCGGGGGGAAAUAUUGAAAAAGGGGCGAAAGCCUGACCCAGCAGUGCCGGGUGAGGGAUGAAGGCUUUAGGGUUGAAAAGCUUUUUUACCGGGGAUGAUAAUGACGGUACCGGGAGAAAAAGCCCCGGCUAACUCCGUG
rnacentral:rRNA from 1 species